UGUGUAGGUGCUGGCGUGGGAGGAGGUGAAAUGCAAACGUUAUUUUCCCUUCUGCCUGCCAUCAAUUCUCUGCUUUCGUCUGACUUUCGUGAGUGAUGAGGUCAUCCCGACGCAGGAAAAUCAAACUUCUAUUUUUCAAACUCAAUAAAGGCCUGCAUUGUAGGUCUGUGUAAACAAGAGGCCAGAAGUGUAGAGAACCACGAAGACCAGUGCACGCCCUCUGGCGGUCGCACGAGACAGUCCGCUCCGCAGCCAGACGGGGAGCGUGCGGGCUAAAAUGGAGUUUAUCACUAUCACUUCCCCUCUGUGAUUGUUGAACUAAUCCAGAGUGGAAAAAAAAGAAAUUAUAAGACCACUGAUGAGACGGGACCAUGAAACAGCGACUCACCCUUCCCUAAGGAAACUGAGACUCAUCAAGGUCAAGUAACUUUUCUAGGCACAUAUAAUAAAGGAUGGAAACCAGGUCAAUCUGGAACAAAAGCCCAAGUGUUAAUUAUUCUGCAGUUAUCAGAACAGUCUUUCAAGAGCUCCAAGGUAGUGUGCAAAUGAUUCUGUUGCAGCGCUGGUCGACCCAGUGGCUUGGUUUCUAAAUAAUAACUCCCCUCCUUUCUUUUCAUUCAGCCAGUCCCCUUGGGGACCAGUCCUUCUCUCUCCAUCAGUGGUGGUCAAUCUGCAUUGAAAAAGGAAGUGAGCAGUUUUGGCUAGCAGCAAGACUGACCUGGUGCCUGCUCUUUGCUGGAUUCCUGCAGAUCCCCUUACUAAUUACAUAGCCUGAGGUAAUUGACUCUGGUAGUUCUCAUCUAUAAAAAUGGAACAACAUUACCAAUCUUGUAUGGUUGCUGGGGAAAUGAAAUACUGUAUCUAAAGUGCUUAGUUUUAUGCAGACACAUAAUAGCUUCAUGAAAUAUGAAUCCUCUUCUCCUUUUUCCUAUCAUCACUGCACCCUGUGGUAUAUCUCUCUUCAAAGUUAGCAACUGGUGUAGAUUUUUGAGCACCAUGCUGAUAUCUAGGCUGCAUGUAACUGAGGGAAGAUUGUGAGAGCACAAAUGUUAGGAGAUCUUUAGACAAGCAAUUAUCCACUCCCUACUUGAUACAUCCUCAUGAUUCUAAUACUUAUUUGGAAGUAUUCUUCAACUUUAAACACUAUCCAGUUUUCUCAUUUGGUAUGAAGAUUUUUCUGCUGGAGAAAAAUCCCCUCCCACUACCAACAAAAACAUCCCAGGAUAGCAUGCUUAAGAACUAGAAUUCAGGGUGAAUCCUCUUUAUUUGGAGCCACAUGGAGUUUAAUAGCACACCUUGAAUGGGGGCACUCUUCUGUGAUAAAUUUGUGGGCAUUGGCAAACUCAAGCCACUGGCCUCCAGGUGGAGCUGCAUGAAAGAGAAGAAAGGAAAAACCAGGUUGGUAUCCCAAGGAAACAUGUAGCCUGAGAAAGACACAAUGAAACACAAUGAUGGUGCAGGUCCUGGGGGAUUUUCUAGAAAAAAAAAGUGACAUGUGAACGGAUUCAACCUCUUUGAUUCCACAAGAAUUUGAAGAGACUGCCAGUGUGCUCACCCAGCCCAGGGUAGGAUCCAAGAGAAAUGAGAUAUGAUCUCCAAGGAACUGACAGUCUUUGGGAGUGGCUGCCCGUAGACAUAGAGGAAGAAAAGCAAAAUAUCAUGUAAUUGAGUGGUAAAACUGUAAUGUAGGUAAAAACGUGGUCUCUACAGUGAGAGAAAAAGCUGUUAUCUUUUUGUGUAUCAUGCUAGAUCCCAGGAACUAAAUUAGAUGGGUUAAAUAAAUUAUCUCAUUUAAUUUAAUCCUAAAAACAAAUCUUUGAAGUGAGCCUAUUUUGAUGGUGAGAAAAUUG